GGAUUAGAUACCCUGGUAGUCCACGCUGUAAACGAUGAUCACUCGCUGUUGGCGAUACACUGUCAGUGGCUGAGCGAAAGCAUUAAGUGAUCCACCUGGGGAGUACGAUCGCAAGGUUGAAACUCAAAGGAAUUGACGGGGGCCCGCACAAGCGGUGGAGCAUGUGGUUUAAUUCGAUGAUACGCGAGGAACCUUACCAGGGCUUAAAUGCAGAGCGACCGUCUCGGAAACGAGACUUCCUUCGGGCGAUUUGCAAGGUGCUGCAUGGUCGUCGUCAGCUCGUGCUG
rnacentral:rRNA from 1 species